AGGGUAUAGCUCAGUGGUAGAACAUGUGCUUGGCAUGCAUGAGGUCCUGGGCUCAAUACCCAGUGCCUCUG
rfam:Camelus ferus unplaced genomic scaffold scaffold185, whole genome shotgun sequence.